rnacentral:rRNA from 1 species
AAAACUAGAAUGAAAGGUUAUACAUUCAAAUUUCUUUAUUAAUUUUUUAAUAAAUAAUUUAUAUUAAAUAUAAAAAUAUAUUUACAAAAAAAAAAGACGACAAGACCCUAUUAAAUUUUACUUAUAGUUUAGCUGGGGAAGCUUUUCAAUUAAAAUUUUUUAAAAAAAAAAUUAAAUAAAUAUCUAAUAAAAUUAAAAUUUUAAUAAAUUACUAUAGGGAUAACAGCAUUAUAUUUUUUAAAAGUUCAUAUUAAAAAAAAUGAUUGUGACCUCGAUGUUGAAUUAUAUUUUCUAUAUUUAAUGCAAUAAUUAUAUAAGUAGAUCUGUUCGAUCUUUAAAAUAUUACAUGAUUUGAGUUCAAACCGGUGUAAACCAGGUUGGUUUCUAUCUUUUUAUAUAUUUUUCUAGUACGAAAGGACAAAAAAAUUUUUAUUUUAAUAAAUUAGCAAAUGAAUGCAUUAGAUUUAGAAUCUAAAUAUAUAUAUAUAAUUUUUUUUAUUAAUCCUUUAUUAUCUAUUAUUAUACUUUUAAUUUCAGUAGCAUUUUAUACAAUUUUAGAACGAAAAAUCUUAAGAUAUAUUCAAAUUCGAAAAGGACCAAAUAAAGUAGGAUUUUUAGGUAUUUUACAACCUUUUAGUGAUGCUAUUAAAUUAUUUAAUAAAAAUUUAAUUUCAUCUGAAAGAAUAAAUUUUAUAUUAUCAUAUUCAACACCUGCAUUAUCUUUAAUUUUAAGUAUAAUAAUUACAUCUAUAUUACCAAUAUAUUUUUAUUCUUCAUUUGAUAAUAAAAAUAAUAUUUUAAUAUUUUUUGUAAUUUCAAGAUUAUCAGUAUAUUCUA